CAUAGCAAGACGUGUCAAGACGAUCGGCGUUUCGCGACCGAGAAAUUCCUUUUCGAAAUACAGGAGAUAAUAAGACGUGUUGAAACAUUUCAAGACGUGUCGGCGUUUCGCGACCAACCAAUCCCUGAUUGAAAUUCGACGUCAUGGAAAGUUUUAUUGGCGCGUAAACGACACCAUAACAGAUUGCAGGCAACUCGACAAAUUUUGGAGGGAAUAUUGGUAACGUUUAAACAAUUAUAACAAAAAUUAACAUCCACAUUAAUAUUUAUAUAUUUUUAUUUCUUUAUUAAACUAUUCGUUGCAAGCAUGAUCAUAAUUUUCCAA